CACGUAGGGGGCAAGCGUUGUCCGGAUUUAUUGGGCGUAAAGAGCUCGUAGGCGGUUCGGUAAGUCAGGUGUGAAACCUCCAGGCUCAACCUGGAGACGCCACCUGGAUACUGCUGUGACUCGAGUCCGGUAGGGGAGCGUGGAAUUCCGUGGUGUAGCGGGUGAAAUGCGCAGAUAUCAGGAGGAACACCAGCGGCGAAGGCGGCGCCUCUGGGGCCGGAACUGACGCUGAGGAGCGAAAGCGUGGGAGC
rnacentral:rRNA from 1 species